rnacentral:rRNA from 1 species
GAUGAACGCUAGCGGCAGGCUUAAUACAUGCAAGUCGAGGGGCAGCAGGUCCCGCAGCAAUGCGGGAUGCUGGCGACCGGCAAACGGGUGCGGAACACGUACAGAACCUUCCUUUAAGUGGGGAAUAGCCCGGGGAAACCAGGAUUAAUACCCCGUAACAUAAUGAAGUGGCAUCACUUUAUUAUUAUAGCAGCAAUGCGCUUGCAGAUGGCUGUGCGGUUGAUUAGGUAGUUGGCGGGGUAACGGCCCACCAAGCCUACGAUCAGUAAAUUGUGUGAGAGCACGACCAGUCACACGGGCACUGAGAAGCGUGCCCGACUCCUACGGGAGGCAGCAGUAAGGAAUAUUGGGCAAUGGACGCAAGUCUGACCCAGCCAUGCCGCGUGGAGGAUGAAGGUCCUCUGGAUUGUAAACUUCUUUUAUCUGGGAAGAAAUCUAUUUUUUCUAAAGUAGUUGACGGUACCAGAUGAAUAAGCACCGGCUAACUCCGUGCCAGCCGCCGCGGUAA